ACUUUUCAUUAGGAAGAUGGAAAAGACACACACAGACAGCCGCGUGGCUUGGAUGCUCGACUUUGAGUCUCGUGGGUGUUUGGUUGGAGGAGCUGGAAGUUGGGCUUUCUGGAUCCACGGCUGACAGGGCAGCUGUGCUGCACAGUCCAGCUCAGCGCUCGCAGCUGUGAGGACACAGCGACUGCAGCAGUCAUGGCUGCUGGCUUCCUAAUUACAAGAUUAUUGCUGGUCUGUUUGUUGAGUGAGGUGAACUACUCCUCAGCUUUUCCAAGAGCCAGAAGUUUUGUGCAACCGAGAGUGUGGCAAAGUGAAGGAGAGGAAGAAGCCUACAACUAUGAGAACUGUCAUCCUUUCUACUACAUCAGUGCCCAGGACAAAACAUUGGAAA